CUAAACACGAUGAACAGAAAGAAGUAAAAAAAGAAUGGUUUCAAGAGAGUCAACGGGUGGUGUAAGUUGUCAAUUGUUCUUUUUUGAAAUGCCUCUGGGAGUGGUCUUUGCGAAGAGGGGGUUGAUCAAUCUCAAUCCUUGAAAGUAGCGAAGAACGAAUAGCAGACGUUACCUGUUAGAGAUAAUCAUUUGAUUAUGAAAAAAAGUGGAACCACGCCUCAUAGCGUCUUUUAA
rnacentral:ncRNA from 1 species